rnacentral:rRNA from 1 species
UACGGAGGGUGCAAGCGUUAUCCGGAUUCACUGGGCUUAAAGCGUGUGUAGGCGGAUCGUUAAGUACCUUGUGAAAUCCCACGGCUCAACCGUGGAACUGCUGGGUAUACUGGCGGUCUUGAGCCACCUAGGGGCAACUGGAACAAGCGGUGGAGCGGUGAAAUGCGUAGAUAUCGCUUGGAACGCCAACGGUGAAAACAGGUUGCUGGGGGUGUGCUGACGCUGAGACACGAAAGCCAGGGGAGCGAACGGG